CAGAUGGAUGUUGAUGAGGCAGUAGAGACUGAGGUUGAUGAGACACAGGACAUGGACAUUAAACAUGUUGAGGACUUUAAAACAACUGUCCCAGAGAGUGACAGUCCUGCAAAUGGUGGCACACCCACCCAAGAGUGGAGAGGUAAUGGUACAACAUGUGGAACAAGAAAAAAGAAACGAGUCUGUCAAGCUGUAAAGUGACAAAAAUGGUCAAAAGAAGAGAGAGAAGCUAUUGAAAGACAAUUGGGAAAAUUCUACUUUUUGAAAUCACUGCCAGGAAAACUCAACUGUGAAAUGGCAAGGCAAAACGAACCUGUUCUCCUGCAACAGCCUUGGAAGCAGAUUAAGUAUUACAUAAAGAAUCACAAGUAAAUGUGUCAAACUGUUUGUCCCUGAGAGUUUACGUUGUAAUUAUGAAGCGCCCUUUGACUCAAAAAAAGGUCUUUAGCAACAGUAAUGUCAUUAUCAUUGUCUGCUUUGUGAGGUUACGGUCCUUUCUUUUAGACAUCAAAGUGAGCUUGGGUUUUGUUAUGGCCCUUUGUCCGUCCAUCCGUCUGUAAGCUGUUCACAAAACUUCUUCGCACUAACUACUGGGUAUAUGUUGCCGGGCAACAAUGAAGUGUGUUUUUUAUUGUCCUCUCAUGUUGCAGUACAUUGUAAACUCAAUUUUCAUUGGCCAAGGUAUGUGUAACCACCAACCAAUAAAUCAUUUACAAUUACUGAAUUGUAAACAUGGGAGUACUGUUUUACAGCAAUAAAACUACUGUAUUCGACGUAAUAAGCGCCCAGGGCGCUCACAAAAUUAGGAAU